rnacentral:rRNA from 1 species
AUGGGUAACCAAUUGUGGAACACAGCAAUAGAGAAUGGAUGGAAACCAAUUGGAAACAUCAAUGACCAACACAUCCAGGAGCUCGGACGUUGGGCGGUGUUGGAGUUCGGCAAGCACGUGAACUGCGUGCUCAAGUUCAACAAGGUGGUGAGUGGCAGGCAACAACUUGUUUCUGGAAUGAACUACAAACUCAUCAUCGACGCAUCAGACAUUGGCGGGAAAGAUGACAAGUACAAGGCAGAGGUGUACGAGCAGGAGUGGACUCACAAACGCCAGCUCCUCUCAUUCGCCAAGGUGAAAUAG